UGNGUAGCGGUGAAAUGCGUAGAUAUAUGGAGGAACNCCAGUGGCGAAAGCGGCUCUCUGGUCUGUCACUGACGCUGAGGCUCGAAAGCGUGGGUAGCGAACAGGAUUAGAUACCCUGGUAGUCCACGCCGUAAACGAUGAGUGCUAGGUGUUAGGCCCUUUCCGGGGCUUAGUGCCGGAGCUAACGCAAUAAGCACUCCGCCUGGGGAGUACGACCGCAAGGUUGAAACUCAAAGGAAUUGACGGGGGCCCGCACAAGCGGUGGAGCAUGUGGUUUAAUUCGAAGCAACGCGAAGAACCUUACCAGGUCUUGACAUCCCGAUGCUAUUCUUAGAGAUAGGAAGUUACUUCGGUACAUCGGAGACAGGUGGUGCAUGGUUGUCGUCAGCUCGUGUCGUGAGAUGUUGGGUUAAGUCCCGCAACGAGCGCAACCCUUAUUGUUAGUUGCCAUCAUUAAGUUGGGCACUCUAGCGAGACUGCCGGUAAUAAACCGGAGGAAGGUGGGGAUGACGUCAAAUCAUCAUGCCCCUUAUGACCUGGGCUACACACGUGCUACAAUGGUCGGUACAACGAGUUGCGAGCCGGUGACGGCAAGCUAAUCUCUGAAAGCCGAUCUCAGUUCGGAUUGGAGGCUGCAACUCGCCUCCAUGAAGUCGGAAUCGCUAGUAAUCGCGGAUCAGCACGCCGCGGUGAAUACGUUCCCGGGCCUUGUACACACCGCCCGUCACACCACGAGAGUUUGUAACACCCGAAGUCGGUGAGGUANCCUUUUAGGG
rnacentral:rRNA from 1 species